CCAAUGCGCACGCAGAAACGUCAGCGUCAGUCAUUUCGGCGCAGGUCUCCGCCAUCUUGUCAAAGCACCUUGUUCAGCGUUCCGUGGACACAUGAUGUGGGUAUUUAAUAGUGGAAAAUCUUCUUUCUCUAUGUGGAAAUUCAUCUUCAUCGCUGGUCGGAAACGUGCCAUGCUUCAUCCCUCCGGUUACCCAGGAAUCGUGGGAGCUGCAACAGGUGGAAAGCCUCCAACAGAUCGACGUGGGGGCUCAAUGGACUGGUGUGACCCGGCUGCACGGACGCUGAGACUUUCGGAUCCGGUAUGAAACUUGUAGGUGGCCUUGGUUUCUUGGACAGGCACAGAGGGCUAACUCCCUACUGGUUUGCAUGCGGAACUUGUUUAACUUCUUCCGGGGUGAUUCUAUCCGUUGAUUCUUGGAGACAGAUUGUCUGGAUGCAUUGGUUCUGGUUAAUUGAGCAACUACAGUUAUUCAGAUAAACAGGUCGUAGACGACAGGUGAAACGACCUUAACAACGGUGAACGGACCGGAAAACUUCGGAGCCAACUUGGCGGCGAAACUGUCAACGGCAGAGGAUAAAGGACGGUCUCGGCGUAGAACUUUAUCUCCCACAUGGUAUCGGACUUCUCUUCGUCG